ACAACACGGGAUGCACAUAUCAGGCCAAACAUAUAUCAUAACAUAAAACCACACAUGCAUAUUAGAUUAUAGGAUGAGCAAAAUCAAAAGUGCAAACUUGCCUUGAACGGUGUUGAAGUACUCUAAUGCUUAAUUCUGAUUCGCUUCACACUCCGGACAAUCUAUACGAUUAACAAAGGCACCGAUAAAUAAAUCGUACUCACAUAACCCACAAUAAAGUCGACAACAAGGAAUUCAAAUAAAAACUUAAAUAACAUAACAUAUUAGUAGGCAUAUCUCAUUUACAUGCUAGUAGGAUCAAAAUGCAAAAAGAAUCAACUAAUUUGGAUCUACGAUUUAAAAGAUAUAGCCUUCGGAAGGUUGAAUUCAAAUUUGAGCAAAUUCACAUUUAAACAGUUCAAAAAUGUGAAAUUUUGGUUCUACAAUAUUAUCCUGGUCUUUAUGAGUACACAAGAAAAAGAAUAGCUGAAUUUGGAGUUACGGAUCUCAAAAUAUACCUAAAUGAGAAUUCGGUAUGGAAUCUGCAAAGAAAAUUUAUGCCAUAUAGCGUUCUGGGAAGAACUGUCGCGGCUCCUGCGACGUGGCCACAUGGCGGGCUACUAACGGCUGAGAACCAUUCGCUGCAAAGCUUAAACGACGACCGUUCGCUAUUUAAAGGAAAACAGUUUGAAUAGAAAAAAAUGACCUCUAGACGGUCCAACUUAGAUUGGACGGCAGGGAUGACUCACCAGAGGAACAAGGACAGGGCAUCGCCGGAGUUGAGGAAGAACGGCGCGGGGUGGCUCGGGUCUUGACCGUGGCGUCGCUGGGGUUAGCUCCGGGGAUCGGGGACGACGGGACAAGAUGAGGAGGUAGACGGAGAACUCCAAAACGUCCUCCAGGACGACCAGGGCUUCUGUACCGCCGGCGAGGACCGGCUGGAGCGACGAUUGAUGGCGGCAACCUUCUGUUGAGGUCGUGCACGUCUCUACACUGCUCCCCUGUGCCAAAGAUAGGGUCAUGGAGGUAGAGGGAACCGGAUAGAUGAACUAGGAGGUGCAGGAGGUGCUAGGAGCCCGCGGUGGCGAUGAACUUGACUGGCGGCGGCUCCAACAAGAUCUGAACGAGGCGAAACGGGCACGGGAGGCGGCGAUUUUGGCAAAACUCGAGCAAGGAGGAGUUGGGGCUCUUAUAUAGAUCAGAUAUCGUGGCCUACAGGUCAAGUAUCGAUCGAUUCGAUCCGGUUGCGGUUCUGUGAUCAACAGUGCUCGAGAAGUACACGGCGAU
rnacentral:lncRNA from 1 species